GACAGAGUAGGGUCAGCGCGUUAAGUGCCGACGGAUGGGAAGUCGCCGUUGGACGAAGAGGUGAAAACCUCGCGUCGCUGAACCCGCAUCCGCUGCC
rfam:Oscillibacter valericigenes Sjm18-20 DNA, complete genome.